GGCCUGGUGGUGUAACGGCUAACACUUCUGCUUCAUAUAUGGAUGACACUGCAAAGUUAAGCAGAAGUUCCUUCAAUCCUUGUUCGAGUCAAGGCCAGGUCA